CCUGGAGGCUCAGUGUUGACUGAACAGCGAAAACUUAGUGUCAUUAAAUCAGAAACUCCGAUCUCGUGCAAGAAGCAAGGAGACUGGUUCCCGGUGGUCCACACGGGAGGCCCCAGGAAGGAAGCUCUGCAAACAGCUCUGAGUGCUGGCCCCCUCGGCCUCUGCUGCCAGCUGCCUUUAUCACCGGAAGCCCUGCCCUCUACGCAGCUGCCCUCCGCCGCUGCCACAGAACCACUGAGGAAACCCUGGACCCUGAGAUGUGGAGGAAGCCGCUCUGCAAUUGGAGAGCAGUUGCCAGGCUGGACGCCAAGGACAAGCCCCACCACUGUGUCUGUUGUUCUUAGGGGACAAAAACGUUCCCACCAUCCCAACCACCACCAAGGUGUUCUUGGAAGGGAGGUGGUUGGCAUCCAAAGGCUUCAUGAGGGAACCUUUUUCCUCACUGAGGUCACUACAUUUUUUUUUUUUUAAGGGCUGCAUCUGUGGCAUAUGGAGAUUCCCAGAACUGUAGCCACCGGCCUACACCAGAGCUACAGCAACGAGGGAUCUAAGUUGUGUCUGCGACCUACACCACAGCUCACCGUAACACCGGAUCCUUAAGCCACUGAGUGAGGCCAGGGGUCAAACCCAUGUCCUCGUGGAUGCUAGCCGGGUCCGUUACUGCUGAGCCGUGGCGAGAGCUUCAGAGUCACUACAUUUGCUGUUGAUUCCUUGGCUUUCUUGGCUCUUCAAGGAAAUAUAUUUCUGAAAAUUAUUAUUUGUUUUUAUUUUCACUGUUGGGUAGGUACAUUUGGUGGAUGCAUGUUAUGUAAUCUCAGAGAUGAAUGCACACAUAAAACAAAAUAGAAAUAUAUUGCGUUAUGUUUCAAGGUGUAACAGCAAACAGGACAUUACAUCUAGGAUGGACUCACCAAGGUAGAGCCUGUGGAUUCCUGUCUCCCUGACUCACCGGUUCUGAUUCCUAUUUUUCAUUUAUUUUCCUUUAAACACAAAUUUGUUUUUUUUUUUUUUUUCUAAUUACAAAAACAUGGCAGAAGAAUCGAAGAAACACAUAUUAGUGGGGGAAAAAUGAAUAAGAAAAUAAUGAUCUUUUAUAAUCCCACCAUUCCACAAUAACCACGGUUAA
rnacentral:lncRNA from 1 species